UACGGAGGGUCCGAGCGUUAUCCGGAUUUAUUGGGCUUAAAGGGUGCGUAGGCGGCCUUGUAAGUCAGGGGUGAAAGACGGUAGCUCAACUAUCGCAGUGCCUUUGAUACUGCAGGGCUUGAAUGUACUUGAGGUAGGCGGAAUGUGACAAGUAGCGGUGAAAUGCAUAGAUAUGUCACAGAACACCAAUUGCGAAGGCAGCUUACUAAAGUAUGAUUGACGCUGAGGCACGAAAGCGUGGGGAUCAAACAGG
rnacentral:rRNA from 1 species